CAAUAGCGUAUAUUAAAGUUGUUGCAGUUAAAAAGCUCGUAGUUGGAUUUGUGGCGUACGGUGUGUUCCGGGCACUUGUUGUCUGAGUAACCUGCUGUUGUCAUCCUUGGGUGGAACCUGUGUGGCAUUAGGUUGUCGUGCAGGGGAUGCCCAUCAUUUACUGUGAAGAAAUUAGAGUGUUCAAAGCAGGCUUAUGCCGUUGAAUAUAUUAGCAUGGAAUAAUGAGAUAGGACUUUUUUGCUAUUUUGUUGGUUUGCGCAAAGAGGUAAUGAUUAAUAGGGACAGUUGGGGGUAUUCGUAUUCCAUUGUCAGAGGUGAAAUUCUUGGAUUUAUGAAAGAUGAACUUAUGCGAAAGCAUUUACCAAGGAUGUUUUCAUUAA
rnacentral:rRNA from 1 species